rnacentral:rRNA from 1 species
UGGGGAAUAUUGCACAAUGGGCGCAAGCCUGAUGCAGCCAUGCCGCGUGUAUGAAGAAGGCCUUCGGGUUGUAAAGUACUUUCAGCGGGGAGGAAGGCGAUAAGGUUAAUAACCUUGUCGAUUGACGUUACCCGCAGAAGAAGCACCGGCUAACUCCGUGCCAGCAGCCGCGGUAAUACGGAGGGUGCAAGCGUUAAUCGGAAUUACUGGGCGUAAAGCGCACGCAGGCGGUCUGUCAAGUCGGAUGUGAAAUCCCCGGGCUCAACCUGGGAACUGCAUUCGAAACUGGCAGGCUAGAGUCUUGUAGAGGGGGGUAGAAUUCCAGGUGUAGCGGUGAAAUGCGUAGAGAUCUGGAGGAAUACCGGUGGCGAAGGCGGCCCCCUGGACAAUGACUGACGCUCAGGUGCGAAAGCGUGGGGAGCAAACA